AAUUAGUUCCCUCUCUCACAAAUCUUUUAGCAGCGCUCGAUGCUCUCUUCAUCUUGUCUACGAAGCCAGUGGGGCGCAAUCCAAAGAACAAAGAUAUUUACCCACUGAAUCAAAGGACAUUCUAGCGCAAUGAAUCGAUCAUCCAGGAUUUGAGCUAAUUGCCAUGGUAAAGCACCCCUUGUGGUUUGUUUACUUCUACAGAUGUAUUUGGAGUUUGUUUAUCAAAAGUUGUUUUAAUAGUACUUUUGAGCAACUUUAGCUAUGAAUUGAUUGCUGGACCAAUAUUAACAAAGAUUACUGGACUGAGUAAAAGCUAUUCGAUGACUAGUCAGAGUAAGUGCUACAGAUCAUAUUAAGUACUUCCUUUGUUCCAGAUCAUAUAUGUGUUUGUAUAAUUUAGUUUGUAAUGUUUGUUACUAUAGAUAUUUGUAAUGGAAUUAGAGUUACUAAUUUAGUAAACAAUUAUUUAUUGAA